rnacentral:rRNA from 1 species
UACGGAGGGGGCUAGCGUUGUUCGGAAUUACUGGGCGUAAAGCGUACGUAGGCGGCUUUGUAAGUUAGAGGUGAAAGCCCGGGGCUCAACCCCGGAAUUGCCUUUAAGACUGCAUCGCUUGAAUCGCGGAGAGGUGAGUGGAAUUCCGAGUGUAGAGGUGAAAUUCGUAGAUAUUCGGAAGAACACCAGAGGCGAAGGCGGCUCACUUGAUGCGUAUUGACGCUGAGGUACGAAAGCGUGGGGAGCUAACAGG